rnacentral:rRNA from 1 species
GAUGAACGCUGGCGGCGUGCCUAAUACAUGCAAGUCGAGCGAACAGACGAGGAGCUUGCUCCUCUGACGUUAGCGGCGGACGGGUGAGUAACGCGUGGAUAACCUACCUAUAAGACUGGGAUAACUUCGGGAAACCGGAGCUAAUACCGGAUAACAUGUUGAACCGCAUGGUUCAACAGUGAAAGACGGUCUUGCUGUCACUUAUAGAUGGAUCCGCGCCGCAUUAGCUAGUUGGUAAGGUAACGGCUUACCAAGGCAACGAUGCGUAGCCGACCUGAGAGGGUGAUCGGCCACACUGGAACUGAGACACGGUCCAGACUCCUACGGGAGGCAGCAGUAGGGAAUCUUCCGCAAUGGGCGAAAGCCUGACGGAGCAACGCCGCGUGAGUGAUGAAGGUCUUCGGAUCGUAAAACUCUGUUAUUAGGGAAGAACAAAUGUGUAAGUAACUAUGCACGUCUUGACGGUACCUAAUCAGAAAGCCACGGCUAACUACGUG